GGGCGGUUAGCUCAGGGGGAGAGCGCCUCGUUGACACCGAGGAGGUCACAAGUUCAAAUCUUGUACCGCCCACCA
rnacentral:tRNA from 1 species